CUCAUAUCAAGUACAAAUCCAACUCAGUUCUCAUAAUAAACAUCCAACACAUAAAAUAACUUCAGAAUCCUGUAAUCUAAGAAAAAUGAAACUAAACAAAACACUCAAACAAGGAAGCCAUGCUUAGCAUUUUGAAUUUUAUUUCAUACUUCGAAUCACAACUUCACAUGAUGUGCAUUCAGGAAAGUGUACCUGAAAAUGAACAGAAAUAAGAAAUGAAGGGUCAACAUUAACAAUAGCAGAAGUCUGCACCAGCAGAACCAACUCCUAACACAAAAAAAUAAUAUGCAGUAGUCCAAAUUUCAAUCGAGCAAUAACCACAAGAAUUCAAACCAAACAUUGGAACCCAAAUUCAGUCCAUUUUUACCCUAGAUGGACCAGAAAUUGUUUCAAAAAUUUAAAACUUCAGAAAUCUCAGAAGAAACUCAAUGGAACAAUAAUUUUAUUGAACUUUCUUAGCUGUCUUUGAUUUUCAGAUUUUUCUCUACUUU
rnacentral:lncRNA from 1 species